rnacentral:rRNA from 1 species
UACGAAGGGGACGAGCGUUAUUCGGAAUGAUUAGGCGUAAAGAGUUUGUAGGUGGUAUAAUUGAUUCUUAGUAAAAUUUUAAAAUAUUUAAUUUAAAAGAGCUUUUAACAUCAAUAUACUUGAGUAUAGCAAAGAAUAGCAUAAUUUUAUAUCUAGGAGUAAAAUCCAGCGAAAUAUAAAGGAAUGCCAAUGGCGGUAGCAGCUAUUUAGGCUAUUUACUGACACUGAGAAACGAAGGCGUAGGGAUCAAACAGG